GCAUAUCAAUAAGCGGAGGAAAAGAAACCAACCGGGAUUGCCUUAGUAACGGCGAGUGAAGCGGCAAGAGCUCAAAUUUGAAAUCUGGUACCCUUCGGUGCCCGAGUUGUAAUUUGGAGAGAGCGAUUCUGGGGCUGGCGCUUGCCUAUGUUCCUUGGAACAGGACGUCAUAGAGGGUGAGAACCCCGUGAGGCGAGAUGUACCAGUUCUUUGUAGAGCGCUCUCGAAGAGUCGAGUUGUUUGGGAAUGCAGCUCUAAGAGGGUGGUAAAUUCCAUCUAAAGCUAAAUACAGGCGAGAGACCGAUAGCGAACAAGUACAGUGAUGGAAAGAUGAAAAGAACUUUGAAAAGAGAGUGAAAAAGGACGUGAAAUUGUUGAAAGGGAAGGGCAUUUGAUCAGACAUGGUGUUUUGUGCCCCUCGCUCCUCGUGGGUGGGGGAAUCUCGCAGCUCACUGGGCCAGCAUCAGUUUUGGUGGCAGGAGAAAGCCUUGGGAAUGUGGCUCUUGCCUUUUUUGGCGGGGGUGUUAUAGCCCGAGGGGAAUACUGCCAGCCGGGACUGAGGUAUGCGACUCUCGUAGUCAAGGAUGUUGGCAUAAUGGUUAUAUGCCGCCCGUCUUGAAACACGGACC
rnacentral:rRNA from 1 species